UACGUAGGGUGCAAGCGUUGUCCGGAAUUAUUGGGCGUAAAGAGCUCGUAGGCGGUUUGUUGCGUCGGCUGUGAAAUCCCGAGGCUCAACCUCGGGUCUGCAGUCGAUACGAGCAAACUAGAGUGUUGCAGGGGAGACUGGAAUUCCUGGUGUAGCGGUGAAAUGCGCAGAUAUCAGGAGGAACACCGGUGGCGAAGGCGGGUCUCUGGGCAGCAACUGACGCUGAGGAGCGAAAGCGUGGGUAGCAAACAGG
rnacentral:rRNA from 1 species